GCCAUGCUCUCCACCACCUCUAGCUUCACUCGAUCAGCCAGCCUCGCCGAGCUCGAGGUUUCCAAAGUAGUCGGAGAGUGAGAUCCUGGAGAUGUUAAGCUCCAGGAUGUCGUUGUGGGUAAAGCCGAACUCAUCGAAAGGGAUGAUGGUCUGCUUGUCAGUUUGGAACUCAGUCAUUCAAAUCUCCACCGCCGACAGUCGGAAGGAGGCU
rnacentral:lncRNA from 1 species